GUAGUGAGGAUAGGUGUAUAGUUAAUAGCAUUACACUGUGACGUUAGCUACAGAAGAAGCACCGGCAAACUCCGUGCCAGCAGCCGCGGUAAUACGGAGGGUGCGAGCGUUAAUCGGAAUUACUGGGCGUAAAGCGCAUGCAGGCGGCCUGUUAAGUCAGAUGUGAAAGCCCCGGGGCUUAACCUCGGAAUUGCAUUUGAAACUGGCAGGCUAGAGUCUUGUAGAGGGGGUAGAAUUUCAGGUGUAGCGGUGAAAUGCGUAGAGAUCUGAAGGAAUACCAGUGGCGAAGGCGGCCCCCUGGACAAAGACUGACGCUCAGAUGCGAAAGCGUGGGGAGCAAACAGGAUUAGAUACCCUGGUAG
rnacentral:rRNA from 1 species